rnacentral:lncRNA from 1 species
AUUCUUAUAAUAAAAAUUCUUUCCAAAUUUUCUAACGUUUUUAUUUACAGAUUGUGAGCUUCCUGACUAUUAUUGGUAAUUCGAUGAGCCUUGUUAAUAUUUACAGCUACAAGUUUCUAAAGUAUUGUACUAUGGUGGAGAAGGCCAAAGCCCUAAGCAUGAAUAUAUCAUCUAUGGGAGAAUUAACUUCAGCACAGUUUAAUACUAUACUGCAUAAAUUCAAAAACUACUUUGGACAUAUUGUGACUAUGGCUAUUGAGAAACGCAUUGGCAUUUUCAGUGUUUUAAGUUUUGAUUAUCAGUCAGAAUGCUUACUGUAUAUCGAUAACAUCAUACAUAUGAGCCAGGACCUCUUGCUGCAUAUAACUGAGGGAAAAAAUACAAGCCUACUGGAAAUAAGAACUCCUGUUCUGCUGUGUACCAACACCAUUGUGCCAACAGCAAAGGAGAUGAUCCAGACUCUCUCUGAGGAGGCUGCCAGCCUGGCUCACAAAGCUAGAAUGUAUGCAAACUACCAGGAUCAUUUCAGUGACGCCCAGGCUCAUAUGCGUUCUCUCAAUGUGGAAGAAAUCACACAGAUUAUGCUCUCAGAGAUCUCUGACAUUGACUGUGAGUUAACUUUGAGGAAAAUACUGUGGGAAAGCACAGGAGGAAUGGGGCACGCUCUUCCGGGAGUGGAGGAACUGUUCUCUUCAGAGUAUUGACGUAGACUUAGUGCAAAGAAAUGUUUCCAAAUGGCUGCAUACAAUCUUUGUACUAGAAAAAGGUAAGAGUAUGUUUCUCAAACUCUUCUCCCCACCUGGGGUCACACACCUGGGGUCUCUGGGAAGCAGGUUCACCGUCCAUGUUGAAGCUGCUGGACCUGUUCUCGGGCCUGAGUGUUGUGGCCAGAGAUACUGAGAUACAAGGGUGCAAGAGCCUAGGUAGGAACUGAGAUUAGAGCUUCGCCCUCCUCCCCCAGUUAAAUAGUUAAAACAAUUUUGUAAUCUUUAAAAGUUGGCUCCUGAAUUUUCUUAGAGUUUUGGACAGAGAUGCUUUGAUGAUAGCGGCU